UGGAAUCCGAGGAAUGCCGGGCGGCAGGAGCCCCGUGUGCAGGCCCAGGAGCAGUCGCGCACUUUUGGUGCGGUGGCUUUGGGAAAUGUUUAAAGGUUGAAAAGGGGCCUGGAGUCAUUGUCACAGAUGUCCCAAAUUGCCUCAGAGGCCCCGCGGCUCACACAAAAAUCCGGAUCUCUCGGGGAAGAGAACUGGAAACGAAAAAGCAAGAAGAACCCUACUGUGCUCAUCGUGUACAAAUGUGUGGUGACACUGACUUCUCUGACUACUUGCCAACCGCCAGAGCAACAAGGAAGUCUGGAAGCCCCCACACGGGGGCGGAAGGAAAAGGCUGAAGAAAAUUAAAAUCAGUUUCUCAAACUUUCGAGGAGAUAGCGGGAUGGCUUCAUUAUAUGGACUUGCUGGAUUCCCAAAGAAAAGUUCCGAAUGCUCUGCUGUCCUCCAGGAAGUAUGGAAAGCACUGGAUGUGCACCUGUGUGAUCACUCCAUUUCCUAGAUGAGCAAAGUGAGGCGUGAAGAAAUCACCAAGGCUCACAAUGGCUAGUGAAAUAUGAUGAUGGACCCUUGGCAGGCCCCAAAAGGCAAGCUCUUAAACUCUUCAAAAUUUCACCAAAAUAGGAUUCACAUUAAAAAUAAGGAAAUCUCUGCGGGUCUCAGAGUGAUACAGAGGAGCUGCCUCUUGGGGUCUCAGAGGAAAGGAAGUGGCCUUUGUGUGUUGUUGCUCGGUGAUACCAGACUGAGCGCAGAAUGCUAGGACAGUGGUGGGAGAGAGAAGCAAAGUUGCCCGGAGACAUAGGAUUCUGGGUCAGCGUCUGACCAGCCAUGUGACCCCGAACGAGCCACUUCACCCCUAGGCCCAAGUUUAUUUUUUAAGUGGAGUGUGACAUGGAGGUCAGGGUUUGGUUGAAUUACUUCAUCUCGGAGGUCUUUCGCGGGUCUGACCUUGAAUGAGUGCAUGGUCCUCUAGGCAGAAAGGCAUGCCUGUGGAGGAAGCUAAGUGCUAAAGCCAGGAUGCCCUGGGCAGAGGACUGUUUCGCACGGCCUUCAGAAUCAAAAUGAAUGUGGGGAUGUUGUGGAGUGUUCACAGGCAUAGUAUACACACACACACACACAUACACACAAAGAUUUAGCACUAAGCCUGCGGGCUCAUUUAAAUAAUUGUACUUCUAAAAAUU